UCACAACUUCAGCUCCUGAGCAGCCCAAAAGAGAGAGAGAACUAAUAAAAAAUUUAAAACAUUCAACCAAGGAAAAGAAAAAUUAAUGAACAAGAAACUAGAAAAAGAAUUUUAAAUGGAAUCGAUAAUCCAAUAAUCUGAUUUUUAACAGAUCAGUAGUAUAGAGAGAGAAACUUUGGAAAAGCAUUUGAAGUUCAGGCUUGUGUCCUGUUGUUACCCCAGGAUGUAGACUGUGUCUUUCUUAUUAGAUGGCUACGUCCUUUUAUGGACAUGGCAAGCUAUAAAUCACACCUUAAAAGGUCACAAAAGAUUGCUUCUGUACCCAUAAAGUUAUAAGGGUGAUUUAUCUGAUUUCUCCAUAGUUCCAACAGGGGUUCUGAAUGACCUUUUAUCUAUCUUGCUUAAAGCACAGAUUGAUGAGGAUGAGAGCUCCAAGCCUAGGCUAUGUCCACUUUCAAGUGGUUGCUAGCCUCUGUGAGGGCAGACCAAGUCACAGUAUCUUUGAAACCAAAUGAAAGUUAAGUAUCUCCUCCUCAGAAAAAAAUAUGCCCACAUAGUUUGUGUCCCACCAUCAGUGAGGUCAUGAGUCUCCCUUGUGUACCAUUCCGUCCAGAAAUGGUGCCAGGAACACGACAUGACAUUUCAAUGAGGCUCUGAAGCAGUGGUUCUCAGAUUUUUUAGUUAGUGCCCUUUUACAAUCUUAAAAUUAUAGCAGACCCCAAAAGGCAUUUGUGGGCAUGGGGAAGAGCUCUCAGUAGUUAAUCAUAUUCAAUUUUUAAAAAAAGUUAAAAAUUAAUUUUAAAAUAAUAGUAAACCCAUUUUAUGUUAAUAUAAAAAAACAGAAUUUUAAGAAAAACUUCCAGAGCAACAAAAUAAGUUACAUAUUUUUUUGUAACGUUGCAAAUCUCUUCAGUAUCUGGUUUAAUAGCUCAAUUCCAGUUCAAUAUAUUCAUAUCUGCCUGUGCUGGUCACACAUCAUGUAUCCCCUGAAAAACUACAGUGUACACACACUUAAUAAGACUAAAAAGGCCAAUAAUGUCUAAGUAUUGUAAAAAUAAUUUUGACCUUGCAGAACCCCUAAAAGUCUCUAGAACCCCCAUCUGGAUGUCCCUGCAUCACAUUUUGAGAGAUUUUUUUUUCUCCAAGAAAUUCUAUAGAACAUUAAUCCUUCAAAAGGUUAACAGAUAUCAAACCAAAGGGGAAAAAAGCAUAUCCAAAUGAUUUGGGGAAAAUAUGUUAUACAUUACAGGAUUUCUGAGACUUUGUAUUCAAGAUCAGUAGGAAAAAUACGGGUACAGGGAAUAGGGAGGAGCUGCUGCAUUACACAAGAUGGCCACUGGAUGGCACUGCUUUCCCACUCAGAAGACUUCAUUAUCUGCAUCAGGAAAUGGCUCCUAGCUUUUGGAAGCCCAAAUUCCCUGGAAAGCUGAAAGACUUGUACAGUACUUUUAAAAUGUUUAAAAAUAAAGUAAUAAUUGGAGUUCUUGUCAUGGCUUAGCGGUUAACAAACUCGGCUUGGAUCCAUGAAGAUGCAGGUUCAAUCCCUGACCUCAUUCAGUGGGUUAAGGAUCCGGGGUUGUCAUGAGCUGUGGUGUAGGCCUCAGAGCUGGCUCGAAUCUGGUGUUGCUAUGGCAGUGGUGUAGGCCAGUGACCAUAGCUUUGAUUCGUCCCCUAGCCUGGGAACCUCCAUAUGUCACAGGUGCGGUCCUGGAAAGCAAAAAAAAAUUAAAAUAAAAAUUUUUUAAAUAAUAAAGCAGUGAUUAAAAGUUGCAUAGAAGGUAAUAUAACAUCAUCUCAUUUCUUCUCAAUGCAAAGGAUAUUUUUCAUUUUAUCCCAAAGGGCUUCUAGCUUGUCAAAAACGGCAGAGAACUUUGGAAGUAACUCCCAAGUUCAUGACACUGAGUGAAGAAUCUGAAGGGUCCAGAAUGUGGAGAUUGGACAGAGUCUCUGACCUCAAAGAGCUCAGUUAGAAUGUAAGAGAAACCAGAAUGUUUUUGGUCAAUAUUCUAAGUCUGGUCAGUGUUGAUUCAGCUUUACAGUGGUUCGAAGUUAAGCGGACUAGUUGGGUAUGUCUGCACUGAGUGGGGGGUGGGGACUUUGCAAAAGCUUUUUGGAAGGGCUGACAGCUCCUUUACUGUGCUGAUAGGCUCUUUGGGUAGCCAUUCAAGUGAAGGAAGAUCCUGGUGGCAGUUUGGGGGUGACAUUUCACCUGUCCACAGUAACGUACUCAUACAGAGAGUGACCUGACCCCACCCAUCUUUUUUGACCUCCAAGCUGCCUCACCGUGAACGUGGCUCUGGUUCAGAACCUCAAAGUUCAGAGAGAAAAGAAUGUCCCAGAGCAAAAGUCUGGAGAAGGUCAGUGCCUGAGAUAUUCUGGCCACCAAAAGUUCAUUUUUGCAGGCUGGUGUGUAGGAUCUGAAAGCUGUAAGGGGAGGGUAGUGGCUGGUGAGGUAGUGGGCAGGUUGGGAAUUGGAGUUUCUUCCUGGGGGCAGUGGAGAGCCAGUGAGGGGUUUUAGGGAGAUACCAUACUCUGUGCCCUGCACUGCCUUAAGUGCUGGGGUGAAAAUGACAGGGUAGUCAAGGCUAUUACAAGAGUGGUGUGUAUAUAAACAGCUAACACACACUAUACACCAGUCAUUAAUAUUAACUCAUUUAAUCCUCUUAACUACCCUGUAAAGAAGGAGCUCUUAUCCCCUCUCUCUUGCGAGAAGGAAAAAGUGAGGCACAAAGGUUAAGGGACUUAACCCAUAUGUGGCAGAGCCAAGCUCCAGCCGCUGUUUAACUACCUCAUCGUAGGUCCCCACUCAUAAAAGGGAACAAAUGAUCCUAAAGUGCUACAGCUACUCUGCCGGACAUCAGUUGGGUCCAGUAGGAUCCCAGAGAGGGGAUGUUAAAACUCUACUGAGACUGGGGCAGAAAGAGAAAUUGCAGAGCGAAAUUGAUACAAGACUUGAGUUGAAUCCGACCGUUGAGUUUGUGUUGACAGCAUAGAGAGGGGAGGGGCAAGUGGGAGGACGUUUCCUACAGAAGCAACAAGGCCAGUCUGCAAAGACAGAGGGAACCUGGGUCAAAGCUGCAUGUAGUUACCUUUGUCUGGAGUCUAAGGAACUUGUGGCUACGAGGAAAUCUGGACACGUAACUGGUGGCCAGGUGAUGCUGGAAUCACGUACUCCAGUCAAAAAAUUUACCUUGUUCCUAUUAAUCGUAGAUGGUUGGAUUCAGUCCAUUUUUCACAUAUCUCAAGAUCAUUUAGGAGACUGCCCCUCCAUCCCAGCUAUUAAUCUGCCUUCUCAGGUUCUGACAUGUAGGAACUUGAUUUUCUUUUAAAAAAAAGUCUUCAUCUGAUUCAUGGUUAAAAAUAUUGACUUGGGACAAAAAAAUAUUUAGGAUAAAGAGAACAGUUUGCAGUUUUGACACAAGUCUCCCCUAUGUCUUUGCAGACUGGCCUUGAUUCUUCUGAGUACUUGUGCAAGUGAUAGACACCAUUGUUUGUGGUUAAUCAGGCAGUUACAACAGUGACCUCAUGGAAAUGUCACCAAGCCUGCGUGUCUUCUCCACAGGGACAGCAGGAAGACGGAUAUUUAAUUGCAAUUGAGACCCUGUGUGCACAGAUUUUACUUAGUCUCUCAAUCUCAUAACCAUGAAGGGUAAAAAUGCGAGAUUAUUCUUGUGUGACUUUCUCACGAAUUCACGUUGAUGUCUUACCGUUAUCCCUUUUCUUCUCUAAAGCCAUCUCUUUGAAAGUCCAUUCUAGGAUUUAAACUAACCAAUGAGCCAUUGUUCUGUAGCAUUAGACUCUAUCCCAUUUCUGGAAAUCAGACUAACCUUUGCUUGUUUGAAUGACCCCAGCAGCAAUUCCAUUACCCUCAGUUCAGAGUCUAAUUCCCGAUUUCUCCCAACACCUGCUGACCUGUUCGCUCUGGGUUCAUGGCAGACAAGCCCCUUGAUGACCUGGAUUCUUGUUCCAUCGCCGUCUCUUCCUCCCUCUCUUUAGCACGAUCCUCAGCACACCACACUGUCGGAGAUCUGUGUGUUUGUACACAGUCUUUCCUCUCCCGUGAAGACAGCUUCCUCCUCUCCACCCAGGGAACUUGGAGUUAUUCUUUUCAAAAAAGAUUUCAUCUAAGUUAUACAUAUUCUAAAAAGUCAAAUGGGAAUAAACAUUAUUAUUGGCAGUUUCCUGACCUUCCCCUUCUCCCUCCUUCAUUCCCGCUUCCCAGAGGCAACCCUUUGUGGCUGCUUUAUCGGGCAUUUACUUGCACGUUGCUAAAUAACACAUUUCUACGCCCAACCUCUUGAUUUUCAGUUUUAGGAGUUACCUAUUGAAUGCUCGCCCUGGAAGAUGAAGAUUUAGCUCUCUCUAGCACCUCCCACACCCACCUCCACAAUUUUCCUCUCCUCAGUCUCCCAAUAGACUUAUAUCAUCAUUUUGUGUUAGAUCAGGGUUCAAUGUUUACAUAAUUAUGACUAUAUUCACAGCACGCCCGUGUGGGAAAGCAUGGUUACAUUUCCUUUCUUGUAUAACUUUUAAUUUUCCCUGGAGUUAAUAAUCAUCUUGUUUCUUCAUUUGCGUAGUUUUCUGUUCACCCACCACUAAUUCCUACCUCGAUGUUCUUCCAUAUGUAAAUUUCUUCUCAGUAUAUUCACAUGCAUUUCAUCAAGUUCACCUUCUUGGACCUGUUUCUCCCCAGUCUGUAUCCCCUCUACUUUAGGGCUGAGGAGACUCUGUUUUCCUGCUUUUUCCUCCUCCUCCUCCUAGAGUCAUUUCCCUCUCUUCUGUGCUGGGUCCCUUGGUUCCUGGAUCCCAUGUCGUCUUAUCAUGAAUCACUUCUCUUUGCCAGACCAUUUCCUGAAGUAGCUUCCUAAGAAAAUGUCCAUGGGAGGUUAAGUUUUUGAAAGCAUGUAUGUCUGGAAACACAUUUGUUCUUCUCUCGCAUUUGAUUGAUAGUUUGGCCAUGUAUAGAAUUCUGGGCUGGAGAUUAUUUUCCUUUUGAGUGUUGAAGGCACUGCUUCAUGUUUUCUAGCUUCCAGUGCUGUUGCCAGUGGUUUAGUGAUAAAGGCAAAGAAGAAAACUAGGCAACUCUUACACCAUUCAGACUCUGGAUCCUUUGUAUAUGGCCUUCUGAAAACAUCCGGGUCUUCUGCCCCUAGAGUUCUGACGUUUUAUAAUGAUGUGCUUGAUGUGAGUCUGUGUUCUUCCUUUGUGCUGGCCACUGGUGUACUUUUACAAUCCAGAAGUCAAUGUCUUCAAGUCUGAGAAAGAGUCUUGAAUUUGUUAUGUGACAACUUCUGUUUUUGCCACUCCCUCUUUCUGGAGUUCCUUGGAAUUCCUGGGCUAUUUCUCUAAUACCAUUCUUUUUCUCUGUGUGUGUUUUGUUCUAUUCUCUGGGGUAUCUCUUCAACUUAUUUUCCCAAUGUUUUUCAGUCUUCCUGCUUUUUUUUAUUUCCAAGAGUGCUUUAUUUUUUGGUCCUAUAAGUGCCCUCACUUCUUUGUAGAGCAUCUUGAUUUUUUUCACUAAUAAAAUGCUUUCCAUUCUAAGACUAUUGAAAAACAUAUACAAGUUUAUAGUUUCCUUUCCCAUGAAUUUUCUUGAUAAAUGGAUAAAGAAGAUGUGGUAUAUAUAUAUACACACAUACACAUAAUGGAAUAUUAUGCAGCCUGAAAAAUAAUGAAAUAAUGCAUUUGCAGCAACAUGGAUGGACCUAGAGAUUAUCACAUUAAGUGAAGUAAGAAAGAGAAAGACAAACACCAUAUGAUAUCACCUGUGUGUGGAAUCUAAAAUAUGACACAAAUGAACCUAUGUCAAAACAGAAACAGACUCACAAACAUAGAGAACAGACUUGUGUUUGCCAAGGAUGGGGGAUGGACUGGGAGUUUGGGGUUAGCAGAUGCAAACUAUUAUGUAUGGAAUGGAGAAACAACAAGGUCCACAGGGAACUACAUUCAAUAUCCUGUGAUAAACAUGAAUGGAGGAGUUCCUGUCAUGGCUCAGUGGUUAACGAAUCUGAUUAGGAACCAUGAGGUUGCGGGUUAAAUCCCUGGCCUUGCUCAGUGGGUUAAGAAUCUGGCAUGGCUGUGAGCUGUGGUGUGGGUCGCAGACGUGGCUCAGAUCCCGAGCUGCUGUGGCUCUGGCGUAGGCCAGUGGCUACAGCUCUGAUUCGACCCCUAGUCUGGGAACUUCCAUAUGC
rnacentral:lncRNA from 1 species